rnacentral:rRNA from 1 species
AGAGUUUAAUCAUGGCUCAGGACGAACGCUGGCGGCGUUGCUUAACACAUGCAAGUCGAACGGUGACGGAGAGCUUGCUCUCCUGAUCAGUGGCGAACAGGUGAGUAACACGUGGGCAACCUGCCCCAGACUUCGGGAUAACGCUUCGAAAGAGGUGCUAAUACCGAAUACGAACGCCGUGGGCAUCCACGGUGUUGGAAAGUUUUUCGGUCUGGGAUGGGCCCGCGGCCUAUCAGCUUGUUGGUGAGGUAAUGGGCUCACCCAAGGCGACGACGGGUAGCCGGCCUGAGAGGGCGACCGGCCACACUGGGACUGAGACACGGCCCAGACUCCUACGGGAGGCAGCAGUGGGGAAUAUUGCGCAAUGGGCGAAAGCCUGACGCAGCAACGCCGCGUGGGGGAUGAAGGCCUUCGGGUUGUAAACCUCUUUCAGCAGGGAAGAAGCGAAAGUGACGGUACCUGCAGAAGAAGCACCGGCUAACUACGUG